rfam:Loxodonta africana unplaced genomic scaffold scaffold_11, whole genome shotgun sequence.
UCAAAGGCUCUUUUCAGAGCCACCCACUUUUUUCAAAUGAAAGGAGU